GACGAACGCUGGCGGCGUGCUUAACACAUGCAAGUCGAACGGAAAGGCGCUGCUCUUGUGGGGUGCUCGAGUGGCGAACGGGUGAGUAACACGCGAGUAACCUGCCCUUGACUUUGGGAUAAAUUCAGGAAACAGGGGCUAAUAUCGGAUAGGAGAUCCUGCUGCAUGGUGGGGGUCGGAAAGUUUCGGCGGUUGGGGAUGGACUAGAGGCUUAUCAGCUUGUUGGUGGGGUAGUGGCUUACCAAGGCUUUGACGGGUAGCCGGCCUGGGAGGGUGACCGGCCACAUUGGGACUGAGGUACGGCCCAGACUCCUACGGGAGGCAGCAGUGGAGAAUAUGGCACAAUGGGCGGGAGCCAGAUGCAGCAGCGCCGCGUGCGGGAUGACGGCCUUCGAGUUGUAAACCGCUUUCGCCUGUGACGAAGCGUGAGUGACGGUAAUGGGUAAAGAAGCACCGGCUAACUACGUG
rnacentral:rRNA from 1 species